AUUGAACGCUGGCGGCAGGCCUAACACAUGCAAGUCGAACGAGUGGCGGACGGGUGAGUAAUGUCUGGGAAACUGCCCGAUGGAGGGGGCUAACUACUGGAAACGGUAGCUAAUACCGCAUACCAUUGGAUGGGCCCAGAUGGGAUUAGCUAGUAGGUUGGGUAACGGCUCACCUAGGCAACGAUCCCUAGCUGGUGUGAGAGGAUGACCAGCCACACUGGAACUGAGACACGGUCCAGACUCCUACGGGAGGCAGCAGUGGGGAAUAUUGCACAAUGGGCGCAAGCCUGAUGCAGCCAUGCCGCGUGUAUGAUGACGGCCUUCGGGUUGUAAAGUACUUUCAGCAGGGAAGCGUUACUCGCAGAAUAAGCACCGGCUAACUCCGUGCCAGCAGCCGCGGUAAUUC
rnacentral:rRNA from 1 species